ensembl:lncRNA
GUAUCACAGCCUGAAAUCAAGACAUCGGCCAAGCCUGGCUCUUCCCUGGAGAUUGUGGGAAAGAACCUGCCUCUCAGGCCAUUCCACUGUUGGCAGAGUUCACUUCUUUGUGUGGGGAGAAGAGAUUUCAGGCACAGGAAGUUCUUGUGAUAGCUUUCUUCAGAGAUGGAGGAAGGCUUCAAGGAGCUGAGAGUGGCCCCCAGCUGACAGUCAGCAAAGACUGGGAACCUCAAUUCUAUACCUGCAAGAACUGAAUUUUGCCAACAAUUAAAUGACCUUGGAGGUCUCCUGCUAAACUCUCACUCCAUAUCACCUCUCAAAUGACAUCACAGGACAUUAUUUGUUUAUGUACCAAGAAGUCCAGAGGUGGUACAGCAGCUGAUAGACAAGAAGGAUCACCACAUCAUUGUCCUAAGGGUGUAGACACAGCAGACCGUAUUUCCCAAAGAUGGAUUCAAUGAUAUAACCAGGCCCUGCGGCGAGGGAGCCAAGCGCUACUUCUGUAGACACAAAGCAUGGAUGGUGGCCAGAACCCACUCUGAAAGGCAGCGUCACACAGGCGAAUCACUUCUACCCUGCGCCUCGGUGUGACCUGUGCAUCUGUGGAAGGAAAGGUUUUCUUCUGGCUCCUUGGCACAGAGCAGCCGGAGCAGAAAGGAAGUGCUGGGUGCUGGCCAGCAAGUUGUGGAGGCUGUGUGGUGCCCAAGUCAGACUCAGCACCACCUCUAGCCACUGAUACUGGGAUCUGGCAAACAAGCCCUAAUCACUUAAUGAGCAAUGAAAAUGGUGCCUCCUUCCUCUACUUAAUUGCCCCUUUGAAAACAACACACAGGAGAUUUAUGGUCCCACCAUAAUUGCCUCAUAAAAC